AGCCUUCCGGGAGAAGGACGGAGAAUAAGACAGAAUUCACAACAUUGAGAUGGGAGAGUGAGAAAAAAAAAUCCAGCAGUUCAAAAUCAAAACUACAGGGAAACAGAACGAGCAGCAGUAUUAGGACCUGUGCAGUACUUCAGUUGAUGACUUUCAUCUUGGCUUGAUCUGUUCUGGCAUUUACCUUGAGCUGUAUAAUCCCCAGAAUGUCAGCUAUUUGGGAUCCUUGAACCAAAGAGCCUCUCCUAUUUCCAGUCAUACUCAUCUCCUAUUUCAAGAUGGGAUUUACAUUUGAAGUGAGAUUCAUUCAAAGUGGAGAGCAAGCCAGUAAGACUGCACACCCACCUUGCAGCAGGAGCAGUGUUUGUGGCUUCUCUGAGGUCUUUGUCUUGAACAUUGAUCUUGGCUGUUUUAGGACUGUUCUGUUCUGGGACCUAACUUCAACCAAGUUCCACCUACAUGGAAACAUACAGUAAUGGCAUAAAAAUUCUGAAACUCUCUGUGAAGCAGCCUUUGAUUUUGUAUGGGUGUACA